GUGAAUGAUGAUACAUGCACUGGGCUCUGAGCAGAUUAUAUUCUGCAUACUGAUUGAAAUGCAGCCUAGAAAGCUAUAUCUGACCC